rnacentral:rRNA from 1 species
AUGUUAGUUUAUGAGUUCAUAUCCAAUGGAACCCUUUAUGACCAUCUUCAUGUCGAAGGAUCAAGAUUACUGUCAUGGAAUAACAGGUUACGGAUAGCAACUGAGACAGCCAAAUCCCUGGCAUAUCUUCACUCAACGGCUUCAGUACCCAUCAUCCAUAGAGACAUUAAGUCAGUUAAUAUACUUUUAGAUGACACUUUAAGAGCAAAGGUAGCAGAUUUUGGAGCUUCAAGGUAUAUUGCUGUGGAGAAAUCAGGUUUAACAACGAUGGUGCAGGGAACUAUCGGAUAUUUGGAUCCUAUGUACUUCUACACAGGGCGGCUCACAGAGAAGAGUGAUGUCUACAGCUUUGGCGUCAUGGUUGUAGAGUUACUGACAAGAAAGAAGCCGUUCUCAUAUAUCUCAUCCGAAGGUGAUGGACUUGUUGCACACUUUGCUAUCUUGUUUGCAGAACACAGUCUAUCACAGAUUCUAGAUCCUCAAGUUGUAGACGAGGGAAGUACAGAAGUCCAAGAAGUUGCCGCUCUUGCAGUAGCAUGUAUACAGUUAAAAGGAGAGGAUCGUCCAACUAUGAGACAAGUGGAGUUGACACUAGAAAGGCUUCAAUCAUCUAAUCAAGUUAUUUCAUACAAUGUGGUGGAUGAGGAAUUUGUGGAAGAUGGUAUUAAAAUAAAUUAUCCAUUGAGUCCGGAUGGAAGAAGAGGCGAGGACUAUUUCAUGGAACCACAUAACACCCCCAGUAGUUCCACUAAUUAG